ACGUCUCCCGCUCCCUUCCCGCCACUCGGCGUUCCUACCCGUCGAGUUCCCUCCGCGCGAAAAAAAAAAAAACAGUCGUCCGCGGCUUGCGUGCAGCCUCUCCGUCAGCGUGGGAAGGAGGGAAAGAAAAGACUCAGCCAAGUGUCCCGAGGAGGAGCCGGCCAGGGAGGGGAGAACGGGAGGAUUUCUUUUCCAGGGUAGGGUUUAAUUACGGGAGAUUUUGUACAUUUUAUCGCGGGCUUUUACGUAUAUACCAAGGCCAAGGCCACAUCAAAAAAAACUUCCUUGUUUCUGGGAGGAAUUGAGCGUUGGAAGCUUUCCCCUUACCGUUUUGGAGCCCCUUCUAUCCCAUUGGAAAGCGCGCGGGGCGGGGGUUGGUAAAAAAUGUUUCAGCUGCUCUUUGCGUCAGCCCCACCCAUAAAUGACAUCUGCUCUACAACAAUAAGACCGCGGAUUAUAUUAUCGCUCGAGUAACCAUCGGCCUAUUUUUCUGAUUACUUGAGCUGUUUAAGGUGGGCUUUUAUGAAUGAUUUAUUGUGCCCACGAAACUUACAAGUUGAACUGGGUCUCCACUCGGAACUCGUUUCUGAUUUUCUCGCCGAGUUUACUUAACAUCUGUCACCGAGAUAUUCGUGCACCUUGCACUUUUCCUAGAUGGUAUUUCUGUAAAAUGAAAUUUAGAAUUCUGUAUAACGUACUUAUUUUGGUGCAUGUAUUGACGGUUUCAUCAGUUUUUCCAAGAGCACUUAAAUAAAAUAAACUGACUUGUAGCUUCAAGAGCAUCUUUUAAAAAAGGAAUAAUGUGUAUUUUACUUUUGUAUCUAAGAUUUCUAAAUAUUGCAUGCGUAAUGUCAAUAUUACAAACGUGAUAGCUUGUCGAACUUAAAUUUUUCGUUAAACACUUCAUAAGAAAUGUUUGCACAUUGAACUGGGAUUUCCUAAAGGCUGAAAUUUACUUGUUUUGUACAUUUAUUUUAGGAUUGACUAUUUUCCAUUUGCUUUAAAAUGUAUGAACCUAACAGUUCUUCACAUUUAGCAUGAAUGAUUGAACAGUAUCAUAUGUAUUCUGACUUCAUUUUCUAUUUUAUCUACUUCAAGUAAGAUAGAAUGUUCUGAUUUUCAUUUUGCAGUGAUUUCCCUAACUUGUCUUUAAAACUUGUUUUUGAAUAUUUCUUUUCCUGUUAUACUCAAUGUUGUAAGCCUCAACAAACUGAAUACUGUUUACCUUUUUUUUUUUUUUUUUAGGAAAUUACCAUAGGAGUCCUCAUGUUACCUUUCUAGAUUCAGAGAAUCAUCAGUGAACCAAAAAAAGUCCCUCUUCUCCUGAAGCAUAUAGUCUAGUGGAAAGAAUAUAGAAUUUCUCAGAGGCUUUCAAAUCCUGCUGUGCAACAGGAUUUCUCCGAGAGGAAACAGCAGGGUGAGCUUUUCCUACAAGCACGUGACUCCCGAACCCCUUUUCCUCUGAGCGUCGCAGGAUCUGAGGUUCUGUGGUUGCUCUUUGGAAAACACCCAGCAGUAGGCCUGUUGUACAACACCAAAGACUGAAGAAAUGUCUGUUGGGCAUUUGUGUCGCCUUACCUUCUUCCAGCGCCAAGCCAACCUUCACUUUUCCAUGAAACGAUUGUUGUAACUGAAAAAUACUCAGGAGUGGAAUUGCUAGAUCAAAGACACUUGCUCCUUGGAAGAAAA